AAUAUUGGACAAUGGGGGCAACCCUUAUCCAGCCAUGCCGCGUGUGUGAAGAAGGUCUUCGGAUUGUAAAGCACUUUAAGUUGGGAGGAAGGGCUUUAGUGUAAUACCCUGAAGUUUUGACGUUACGAACAGAAUAAGCACCGUCUAACUCUGUGCCCGCAGGCGCGGUAAUACAGAGGGUGCAAGAGUUAAUCUGAAUUACUGGGCGUAAAGCGCGCGUAGGUGGUUCAGUAAGAUGGGUGUGAACUCCCCGGGCUUAACCUGGGAACUGCUUUCAUAACUGAUGAGCUAGAGUACGGUAGAGGGUAGUGGAAUUUCCUGUGUAGCGGUGAAAUGCGUAGAUAUAGGAAGGAACACCAGUGGCGAAGGCGACUACCUGGACUGAUACUGACACUGAGGUGCGAAAGCGUGGGGAGCAAAC
rnacentral:rRNA from 1 species